rnacentral:ncRNA from 1 species
UUGACACUGCCACCGGGUAGAGAUGUUAUUGAUUGAUGAAGCAUCUGCACCGUAUCUUUAGGUCUUAGUAGAUACGGUACAGAUGCUUUUUUGUU